UAAAACAUAAGAGAGUAUUUUAGCCUACGAAUAUAUGGAGAAAGGGAAGAGCAUAGCAGCAGGGUUUUUGGUGGGUUUCCCUGAUAGACCCAAAACAAGGACGAAAUGCGUCGACGCCUCCCUCUCUUGGCCCACUCCCUCCUCUUCAAACCCACCAUUAACAACAAUCCCCUACGCUUCCUCCCCAUCCUAAACCCUCCUCCCUCCGCCCCUCGCCGCUUCUCCUCCGCCACCCCCUCCAAAGACGACGGCGUCUCCCUCUGCUGCCAGAUGUGGAUCGACAACUUCCGCCACCCCGACCGCGCCGUCACAAACCUCUCCUCCUUCCUCCGUCGCUUCGACCUCUGGGUCCUCGCCUACCAGAAGGUCGCCACCGACGACACCGGCUCCUACACCCCCCGCUCCUCCCUCCACGCCUCCACCCUCCAAGACCUCCUCGCCCUCCGCAACGCCGUCCUCGACGCGAAAUUCAAGUGGGGCUCCAGGCUCAAGUUCUUCAUCAAAUCCCCCAAAGACAAAACCGACUACGACUCCCUCUCCAAGCGCAAAAUCAAAACCAUCCUCACCACCACACAACCUGCGCCGUUCCAGGACAGAAUCGUUCAUGAAGUUCUCCUUAUGAUCCUCGAACCGAUCUAUGAGCCGAGGUUUUCGCCAAAGUCGUAUGCUUUUCGACCCGGGAGAACACCCCACACUGUUUUGAGGGUUAUUAGGAGAAGCUUUGCUGGGUACUUGUGGUAUAUAAAGGGUGAUUUUAGUGUUUUGUUGGAUGGGAUGAAGGUGGGGUUGGUGAUUAAUUCUGUUAUGAGAGAUGUUAGGGAUAAGUUGGUUGUUGAUUUGAUAAAGGACGCAUUGGUUACGCCGGUUGUUGUUACUUCUGUGGAGAAGAAGGAGAAGAAGAAGAAGAGGAAGUAUCAGAAGAAGAGGGUUUUGGCCGAGGAUGAGCCUAAGCCCGAUCCUUAUUGGCUGGAUACGUUUUUUGGGUUUGCACCCGAGGAGGCGGAGAGGGUACCCAAUUGGGGGCAUUGUGGGGUGCUUAGUCCGCUUUUGGCCAAUGUUUGCUUGGAUGAGUUGGAUAGGUGGAUGGAGGGGAAGAUUAAGGAGUUUUAUGUUCCUUCCAAGAGUGAUGUUAUAUGGAAUAGUCCCGAGGAGGAGCAGGGGAACACGUCGUGGCCGGAGUUCGUGCCCACGAGUGGGCCGGAUAAGACGAGGAAGAUGGAUUUUGUGAGGUAUGGAGGGCAUGUCUUGAUUGGUGUUCGAGGGCCUAGGGCAGAUGCGGCUGCGUUGAGGAAGCAGUUAAUUGAGUUUUGUGAUCAGAGGUUCAUGCUCAAGCUUGAUAAUGAGAGCCUCCCUAUAGAGCAUAUAACCAAAGGGAUCAUGUUUUUGGACCAUGUGUUGUGUAGGAGGGUUGUGUAUCCAACUCUUAGGUACACUGCCACUGGUGGUAAGAUCAUAAGUGAGAAGGGCGUGGGGACGCUGUUGUCGGUCACGGCGAGCUUGAAACAAUGUAUUAAGCAGUUUAGGAAGUUGAGUUUUCUCAAGGGGGAUAGGGAUCCGGAUCCCCAGCCUUGUUUUAGGAUGUUUCAUGCCACGCAGGCACACACCAAUGCUCAAAUGAACAAGUUUUUGUCAACCAUGGUUGAGUGGUAUAGAUAUGCAGACAAUAGGAAGAAGAUUGUGAACUUCUGUUCUUAUAUCAUAAGAGGCUCCCUUGCUAAGCUGUAUGCUGCAAAAUACAAGCUUCGGUCGCGUGCAAAAGUGUACAAGAUUGGUGCUCGUAACCUGAGCCGUCCAUUGAAGGAGAAAAAAGGGCAGUCUCCUGAGUACCAUAAUUUGCUGAGGAUGGGUCUUGCCGAGUCAAUAGACGGGCUACAAUAUACGAGGAUGUCUCUUGUGCCUGAGACCGAUUACUCCCUGUUCCCUAGUAAUUGGAGGCCUGACCAUGAAAAGUUGUUACUAGAAUACAUAAAACUGGAAGAUCCAAAAACUUUGGAGGAACAACGGGAUUGCAUCAGAGAACAAGGUCUUGUUUCACCUCAAGACUAUAUUUCAAUGCUCGUGUGGAAUUAUAAAAGGAACUCUCUUCCUAUGGACCAGCUCUCCUUAGUAAGGAGCAAUGAAAGUGUUGUAGGAAAUCAGCAUUUGCUAGUUGGCUCAAACCAGGAUGACCAGGACCACACAAACCAAGAAGAAGAAAAUGAUGGAAGGAUGAAUGCAGCACAAAUGUAACACAAAGGUUUUGUAAUUUGCACUCACUAAGCAAUACUAUUUUUGUAUGCGGUCUUUAAAUAGGAUCUUUCAAGAGGCUUUGGACACAUUGAGAAUUUGAGAUAUAGGUUUUUCAUUUAGUUCCCUUAUUCCCUCGCUUGCUUGCACAAGUGGUGUUAACCUAUUAUACUUGAUCUUUGGGUGGUAAACCAUUUUGCUCCCUUUUCUUUUGUUCUUUUGCUUUCCUCAUCUUCUAACAUGAAAUGUAGUUAUUAAAAUGUGUGAAGGAUGGUGACUGUUACAUAUAUAAAAACCAUUUAUGUACUUCACUCUGCAAAAUAAGCUUUUAGUAGGAUUCGUGGACUUGAUAUCAGAACCUUUGUGGCUGAGAGGUCAAUAGUUUGAUACUUGCCAAACUCAUUCAAGAAUUUCAGCAUAACAUUAAAGAAGGCCUGUGCAUUGUCCACUCAACAAGCCAACGUGUUUCAUGAGAGACAGUGUAUUAGAGAUAGAGAAAUUAUUCAUGUGUUUCUUGCGAUACAAUGGUGAAGUGUUUCAAAAGUUUACAUAAUUGAGUGCUCUUUGCAAUUUUUGGGUAGAAUCCAAUGUUUUCCAAUUAGGAUUUUUGCUUCAGUUUCAAGCUCAUUUGGUGCAGUGGUGUCAUCUUUGCAAGAUUCAGACGAUGCCACAACUUUCAUAAGCAAUUAGCUUGGUACAAUGAUAAUCAGUUCAUCUUUGGUUCAGUUUGGCAACCUCUUAGAGUGAUUUUGAAAAAUAAGUUGAUAUUAUGUUUCACCUUUCCACCAUGGAUGCUUGCCAGAGAAAGGAUACAAUAACUGAAGAAUGGAGAGCUCUGACGUGCUGGCAUCCACUCAGGCAAAAUAUUAACACUGCCACUCUGCUAAUGGGAACACUGACUGGGCUAUAAGGUGGCAAAAAUCCACGCACUUGAAAAUGUGGAAAGUAAUUCCACAUACUGUUCUGGAGUGCUAUAUCUGUGAGUCCACAGGAAGGAGUAAGCAGCUUUCUGUAAUAAAGUGUGUUCCUCGUGGAUGCAUAGCAGCAUAGGACAAGGCAAGGUGUGAAUUGAAGUAUUGAACUCCAACAAGAUCAUUUCAUAUAUCAUGUUAAUUUUGUAAAUUGGCUAUUUGUGAUUUGUCCAUACGUGCUUGCCCCAAUUCAUUUUUCUAAUGAUUUGAGCAUACCCGCAACUCUUAGUUCUUGAAUAGCACAUUUAUAUGUAUUUUUUUUCACUUUAUUUUCUGUACGGGCAACUCAAUGCUCUAAGAACUUCAAAGCAUUGUACUAGGAAGAAGCUCGUUAUACUACAUUAUGAGUUUCUCCUUUGAUUCCUCAUUUUAAAAUAAUAAUAAUUAUUAUAAUUUAUUUUGUAAA